GGAGAGGUGUCCGAGUGGCCGAAGGAGCGCGACUCGAAAUCGCGUGGACGGCAACGUCCCGUGGGUUCGACUCCCACCCUCUCCG
rnacentral:tRNA from 1 species